AAAAUGGCUGGAGGAAUGUAGCUUCGAUUUCGAUUGAAGUGUUAUAGCUUCGGCAGAUGUGAUGAUCGGGAUUGAGGAUUGCAACGGAUACCCUUCGGGGCUACCUUCUGAUCUCUGAUCGUUGCUCUGGUGCCGAAAGCGUGCUUACGGUUAUCAAAGUCGAUGUCAAUAGGUUAGAACGUGAUUAUAUUCGUUAAGGAUGUUGACGUAAUGGCUUUAAACGA
rnacentral:rRNA from 1 species